rnacentral:rRNA from 1 species
AACGAACGCUGGCGGCAUGCCUAACACAUGCAAGUCGAACGAGACCUUCGGGUCUAGUGGCGCACGGGUGCGUAACGCGUGGGAACCUGCCCUUAGGUUCGGAAUAACUCCCCGAAAGGGGUGCUAAUACCGGAUAAUGUCUUCGGACCAAAGAUUUAUCGCCUUUGGAUGGGCCCGCGUUGGAUUAGCUAGUUGGUAGGGUAAAAGCCUACCAAGGCGACGAUCCAUAGCUGGUCUGAGAGGAUGAUCAGCCACACUGGGACUGAGACACGGCCCAGACUCCUACGGGAGGCAGCGGUGGGGAAUAUUGGACAAUGGGCGAAAGCCUGAUCCAGCAAUGCCGCGUGAGUGAUGAAGGCCUUAGGGUUGUAAAGCUCUUUUACCCGGGAUGAUAAUGACAGUACCGGGAGAAUAAGCUCCGGCUAACUCCGU